AUACGGGGGGAGCAAGCGUUGUCCGGAAUCAUUGGGCGUAAAGGGCAUGUAGGUUGUAAUUUAAGUCAGUUUUUAAAUGUCACGGCUUAACCGUGGACUGGAAUUGAAACUGGAUUACUUGAGUAUGAGAGGGGACAGAGGAAUACCUAGUGUAGCGGUGGAAUGCGUAGAUAUUAGGUAGAACACCCGAGGCGAAGGCGUCUGUCUGGCUCAUAACUGACACUGAAAUGCGAAAGCAUGGGUAGCGAACAGGAUUAGAAACCCCAGUAGUCC
rnacentral:rRNA from 1 species